UACGUAGGGUGCGAGCGUUAAUCGGAAUUACUGGGUGUAAAGCGUGCGCAGGCGGUGAUGUAAGACAGAUGUGAAAUGCCCGGGCUUAACCUGGGAACUGCAUUUGUGACUGCAUGGCUAGAAUCUGGCAGAGGGGGGUAGAAUUCCACGUGUAGCAGUGAAAUGCGUAGAGAUGUGGAGGAACACCGAUGGCGAAGGCAGCCCCCCUGGGUCAAGAUUGACGCUCAUGCACGAAAGCGUGGGGAGCAAACAGG
rnacentral:rRNA from 1 species